GAAUUUCACCCGCUGCCCUGCAGGCCAGCCAGCGAGCGAGGUAUUGAGCGAGUGAUCGAGCAAUUGAUCGCCAGGUGCGCAAUCCCCUUCGCAGAAAACUGAUCACCUGGGUGGGUGAUCGGGGACUCCAUUCACAGCUCUGCUACUUGUGAUUCCAGUACGAUUGAGGCCAGCAAUCCAGCAAUCCCCAGUGACUAUGGAGUUCGUGAGCUUUUUAGUCUCAACUUGAGUAGUUGACAACCCAGCGGAGUAGGAGCUCGCCUUGGGGAGCAGCCAUGGCCGAUCGCGCGAGCUUGCAUUCCAGAACGUUCCGGAGAUGGGUUCUUCGUGAUGGGGCUUUGUGAUGGGCAUUGAUGCAUGGGAUGGGGAUUGCUGAUGGAGUUUAGUUUUGCGAAUGGUGCUUUCGAUGCCAUGGUGCGACGCAUUGGUAUUCGCCGACGAGGAUUUCGUGUGUAGCUGCCCGGGGGGUUUAAGAGUUGUGAUUCUGUGGGAAGAAGAGUGGCCUGGAAAUAAGGUGGAGGAAAAAUAAGGUAUCGAGAGAAGAAGAAAAGAAGGGGUUGCGUGGGGCUUCUUAGUCGUUGUAGUAGGGGUAUCUGAUUUAGGUCAAGCCAUGUCUGGGUGGGAGCCAUCGGACUGGUACAGCGGAGGAGGAGAGCCUCAAAGCACGGUGGAGGAUGCUCCUGACGGAGAUGGCUUUUUAAGAAAUAACGAGAGUUCAAUAUUUUCGGUGGACACAUUGGAGAGGAAUGCAUCUAAGGGGCAUGGGUUGGUGACAUCCGUUGCUGCUGGCAACAAUGUUCUCUUGGUGGGCACCAAUAAAGGCUGGAUAGUUCGACAUGAUUUUUUGGGAGAAAAUGAUACUCUUGAAUUGGACCUCAGCGCUAGAGGUAUUGAGCAAUGGAUCCCGAAGGUUUUCAUCGAUCCAGGUGGCAGACAUUCAAUAUUCACAGUUUGUAGCAACGCAACUGCAGAUACUUACUACCUCCAUGGGAAGUGGAGAAAACCAAGAAUGUUCAGCAGAUUGAAGGGGUCAACUGUGAGCUCUGUUGCUUGGAAUCGGGCGCAAAUAAACGAAGCUUUUACUCGUGAAGUGAUUGUGGGGACUACAUCUGGGCAACUGUACGAGACCGCUGUGGAGGAAAAAGAUAAGAAGGAGAAAUUCUGCAAACUCUUAUUUGAGCUUUCGGAGGUCCCAGAGCCUUUUAUUGGUGUCCAGAUGGAGGUUGUGAAUUUAGGGAGCACUACGCGCUAUUUUGUAAUGGCAGCCACGCCUUCCCGCCUUUAUAUUUUCCAGGGCACUGGGUCUUUGGAGGCCGUAUUUAAGGCAUACUCGGAAGGUCCACCCCAUUUCACCGAGCUUCCUGGUGCGAUCCCUAACAGCGAGCUCCAAUUUUAUGGAAAGCAGCGCAGAGCAGAGAGGUUUGCCUGGCUGGCAGGGCCUGGUAUCUAUCAUGGGCAUUUAAAUCUUGGGACCACUCAAAGUGCUAAUCACACCCAUGACGAGGAGAGUAAUGUGGAGCACAAGUGGCUUUUGGAGUAUUCCAAAUUAAUCGAUGGUCCGGGUACACCGAAACCUCUUUCACUUGCCCUGAGCGAGUACCACUUCCUCGUUCUUAUGAACAAUGUGCUCAAGAUUGUGAACAGGGUAAGUCAGAAAGUAGUGGAAGAGCAGCGUUUUGACCUACGCAGUGAUCUUGGCUCACCUACUAUGCUGGGGCUCUGCUCAGAUAUGGCUGGUGGAGCCUAUUAUGCGUACGAUGAAAAUUCCAUCUAUGAGAUCACAGUCCAAGACGAGGGACGCGAUAUGUGGCAGGUGUACUUGGGUUUGAAAGAGUACACUGCUGCACUUGAAGCCUGUCGGGAUUUGGCGCAACGAGACAGUGUUUAUGCUGCUCAGGCAGAGGCAGCGUUCGAAGUCAAAGAUUAUGAGCGAGCAGGAUCAUUCUGGGCUAAGACUGCAACUGUGUCAACAUUUGAGGAGAUUGCGCUGAAGUUUGUGACAGUUGGUGAACAAGAUGCUCUCCGAACUUAUCUGCUUCGAAAGUUGGACUUUUUGGGAAAAGAGGAUCGCUCACAAAUUACUAUGAUUGCCACCUGGGCUGCUGAACUUUACUUAGAUAAGAUUAACAGACUGCUUCUAGACGUUGAUGAUGAAAAGGAAGUCGAUGAAAAUGAAGGUAGCAUUGGAAAUUCAGAAUAUCACAGUACAGUGCGGGAGUUUCGGGCUUUUCUCAGUGAUUGUAAGGAUGUGCUUGACGAGGCUACUACAGUCAAAUUACUUGGCAGCUAUGGGCGAGUGGAGGAGCUGGUUUAUUAUGCUGGUUUAAAAGAACAGUACGAAACACUGCUUCACCACUUUGUUCAGCAAGGUGAAGCAAAGAAGGCAUUGGCAGUUCUCCGAAAACCGAGUGUGUCUCCAGAGCUUCAGUACAAAUUUGCUCCUGCAUUGAUUAUGUUAGACCCCCAUGAAACUGUGGAUUCGUGGACUUCAACUGGCCUAAAUUUGAAUCCAAGACAACUAAUUCCUGCUUUGAUGCGAUACUCCAGUGAGCGUCGCCCAAGAGACGAGCCCAAUGCAGCAAUUCGGUAUCUUGAAUAUUGCAUUGUCCGUCAGCAGAACCAGGACAGUGCUGUGCACAACUUGCUGCUGUCUUUGUAUGCUAAGCAGCCAGAGGAUACAGCUUUGCUCAGGUUUCUGGAAGCACGGUAUGGCAAGGGGCGUAUGGAAGGCCCGGACUACUUCUACGAUCCCAAGUAUGCCUUGCGCUUGUGUUUGGAGCAGAAGCAAAUGCGAGCUUGUGUAUACAUUUAUGGUAUGAUGGGCAUGCAUGAAGAAGCUGUGGCACUAGCAUUGCAAUUGGACCCUGAAAUGGCGAAAGUCGAGGCUGACAAAGUGGAAGACAACGAGGAGCUUAGGAAAAAGCUUUGGCUUAUGGUAGCAAGGCAUGUCAUCCAGCAAGGGAAAGCCACUAAGGGAGAGAAUAUCCGUAAAGCCAUUGCAUUCUUGAAAGAGACAGAUGGGUUGCUGAAGAUCGAAGACAUCUUACCCUUCUUUCCAGACUUCUCCCUUAUUGAUGACUUCAAGGAAGCUAUCUGUGCUUCGUUGGAGGAUUACAACCGUCAGAUUGAAGAGUUGAAACGAGAUAUGAAUGAUGCCACUCAUGGAGCUGAGAAUAUCAGAAGUGAUAUCACUGCACUGUCACAGCGCUAUGCUGUUGUGAAACGUGAUGAAACAUGCAAGGUUUGUGGACAGCGGAUAUUGGCAUCAAAAGGAGCACAAGGAGCAGCAGGGGUAGCCCGUAGUUACACGUCUCUUGUGGCUCCAUUUUAUGUCUUUCCGUGCGAGCACGCCUUUCAUGCGCAGUGCCUUACUGACUACGUUCUCCAACACACUGAUAAGAGCGAGCAAGAGCGCAUACGAGGACUGCUCAGACAGAUCACGUCCCUGGGCUUCAAGGAGGCUAGUUCACGAUCUUCAAAAUCUGUUUACAAUGGGCACGAUGAAGAAGUUGACACUGCAAACGGCAAUAUGUCUCCUAUGGACAAGGUCCGGGCACAGAUAGACGAUGCAGUAGCUGGAGAGUGCCCUUUCUGCGGAGAGCUGAUGAUCAAAGAGAUAGCCGAAGCUUUCAUUUCUUCAGAGGAAACGGAUGUAGUUUCGUCGUGGUCAAUAGGUGGUGCUGGAACUGGAAGUAUCUCUAGUGUAGAAUACGGUUUGGCUUGACGAGGUGGCAUGAUUGUGAUUUAUGACCUCAAAGUGUACAGCGUGGAGUUCUGCCCGUCUACUUAGUAACAUUUCCGCAUGUCACUGCAAUCAUACUUGGAUGCGGUUCUGUGAAGGUGAUUCAACACCUCGUGAGGAUCUUCCAGGAGAAGCACCAACAUUGUAGAGCUGCAUCCAAGGCGGAUCCGCAGAUUCAUUCUUCAGCAGGGUCCUCGAUAAACUCAAAAGACUCGUAGCAUAUCGAGCGUUGUCAUGCUCACCUUUGAUUACGGUUUCAAACCAGCUAUUCUGGGCGUUGUUUUACCUCAAGGUUCUCAACUUAAGUAAAGGAUAUUUUUUUAACA